GUAAGCACCAGUUUACUCUACUUAUCCAGUGUCUGAGCAACUAUUGUUGAAGCUAUUCCGGUUAUUCUUGGUACAUAUUUUUUCAAUUUCAACUGAAGCAUGACGUGUCUUUCAAUGUGAUCUGGGUACUAUUUUACAAAACUUAUCCAGAUAUUUGGAUCUUGCAGAAUUGAGGCAGUACAGCUAAGUUCUCCAUUUUUAGAGACUACAAUAUAUAAGAUAUGACCAUUUCUAAUUAUGUUUUUAUUUUUGUCAAACUUAACAAGUCUUGUUUCGUACA